rnacentral:rRNA from 1 species
GAGUAAUGUCUGGGAAACUGCCCGAUGGAGGGGGAUAACUACUGGAAACGGUAGCUAAUACCGCAUAACGUCGCAAGACCAAAGAGGGGGACCUUCGGGCCUCUUGCCAUCGGAUGUGCCCAGAUGGGAUUAGCUUGUUGGUGAGGUAACGGCUCACCAAGGCGACGAUCCCUAGCUGGUCUGAGAGGAUGACCAGCCACACUGGAACUGAGACACGGUCCAGACUCCUACGGGAGGCAGCAGUGGGGAAUAUUGCACAAUGGGCGCAAGCCUGAUGCAGCCAUGCCGCGUGUAUGAAGAAGGCCUUCGGGUUGUAAAGUACUUUCAGCGGGGAGGAAGGGAGUAAAGUUAAUACCUUUGCUCAUUGACGUUACCCGCAGAAGAAGCACCGGCUAACUCCGUGCCAGCAGCCGCGGUAAUACGGAGGGUGCAAGCGUUAAUCGGAAUUACUGGGC